rnacentral:rRNA from 1 species
UACAGAGGUUGCAAGCGUUGUUCGGAAUUACUGGGCGUAAAGCGUGCGCAGGCGGUCUGUUAAGACCGAUGUGAAAUCCCCGGGCUUAACCUGGGAACUGCAUUGGUGACUGGCAGGCUUUGAGUGUGGCAGAGGGAGGUAGAAUUCCACGUGUAGCAGUGAAAUGCGUAGAGAUGUGGAGGAAUACCGAUGGCGAAGGCAGCCUCCUGGGCCAACACUGACGCUCAUGCACGAAAGCGUGGGGAGCAAACAGG